GGGGUUUUUUUUGUUUGUUUGUUUGAGGGUGCUGGUGAAAGGAUACCUCUGGUCUUUAGCACUGCAACUGUCACACAGCCACCACAGGAGCAAUGUCCUAUUUGGAGUGAUCCAUUACUUACCCGUAAGGAUGAGGAUGGCUCGGGGAAGCAGUUCCAUGGAGAUUUGCAACAAGUGGAAGAGCAACAAAGCUAGAGAUUGUUUUACAAAACAAAACCAUCAAAAAGAUUGAAAUACAUGAAGAGAAACAGAACCAAAGGAAGAGAAAGAAGGAUGUAACUGUAAAAGCACUGCAUGCCUCAUCCCACCGCCAUUGAAGUUGAUGGCUGUUUUUCUAUUGAUUUUAAUGGGAUUUGGACUGGACCCUAUGUGCUGUAUAUGCUAGGAGAGAACUGUGAACUGCUGGGAAUGUUAUAUGAUAGUAUACUAGAUGCAUAACAAUGUACAUUGAACAAUCCAAGAGCAAUGCCCAGUAGGAAGGCUUCCAGGACUUCACGGACCCUAACCAAAACUCUCAGUCCGAGAGUAGUGGUGGAGGACUAUUGGAAGUUUGUAGGGAUGGAGCAAGGGGGACUUGGAGGGUUUGACCACUGUAUGUGCUGGUCAAAAACUAGAAACAUUUUCAUGAAAAAAAAUUGAAAUUUUUAUGCAAGAAAAAUUUCCAUCAACGUUUUGCACGUUUGGGAGCAGCUCAGCAUUCUGUACAUUCCCUUGCCAAAUGGAAUUUUGUUGUCAGGGCAGGGCCGGCUCCAGGCACUAGCGCAGCAAGCUGGUGCUUGGGGCGGCCCAAGGAAGGGGACGGCACGUCCGGGUCUUAGGCGGCAAUUCAGGGGCGGGUCCCUCAGUCCCUCAUGGAGGGAAGGACCUGCCGCCGAAUUACCACCAAAGAAUGAAGCGGCGCAGUAGAGCAGCCAUUGAAGUGCCACUAAAAAAGCUGGAGCCGGUCCUGUGUCAGGGUAGUCUCCCAUGUUUUGGCUAGCCCAUUAGUGCCUUAAUCAUUGGGGCUUUUUCCAUUGCCCUUGAGAGGCUAUUUCACAAAUCGAAUAGACCUGAUUGCUGAAAAUGUUUCCUGGUAUCUAGCCUGUUUUGCAACUAAGAAAUUCUGGCAUCCCUUAAAAUAACAAUAAUAAAAUAGGGAACAUUAUUGAAUAAAUAAUAUAGCUCAAACAUUAAUCUAUUUUAAUAACAUACCAAUUAUAAAUUGGUGCAUUUAUUUCCCAUGAAUGUGAAAGGACAGACCCCAGGGAGUUAUUUUGCAAAUUUCCACUCUCAUCCUUUCCAAUACAGAUUUAAUCUCCAGUAUGCUAGUAGUCCAGUUUUUGACUUUACCUCAAUGAAGACUGUAUGUAAUUGACUUUUUAUAACUCAUCAACUUCCCCAUGAGUCCACUGUAUUAAACCCAGUGUGUUUUUAAAAGAUA